UUGAAUGGCCGCGGUAUUUUGACCGUGCUAAGGUAGCAUAAUCAUUAGUUUUUUAAUUGAAAGCUGGAAUAAAGGGUUGGAUGAAAAAUUAGCUGUCUCUUUGUAAAUGCAAAAAUUUUAUUUUUAAGUUAAAAAGCUUAAAUUUAAUUAAAAGACGAGAAGACCCUAUAGAGUUUAAUAAAUUUUAAUUAGUCUUAUUUUUAGAAUUUAAAUUAUUAUUAAUAGAAUUUAUUUAAUUGGGGUGAUUAAAAAAUUUAAUGAACUUUUUUUUUAUUUUAAUAUAGAUAUAUAGAUUUUUGAUCCAAAAUUUUUGAUUAUAAGAUUUAAUUACCUUAGGGAUAACAGCGUAAUUUUAUUGGAGAGUU
rnacentral:rRNA from 1 species